GAACAAUCUCACCGACACCGCUACCCUGGAGAUACAAGAAGAACCACUCCCGCGAGAAGUCAGCCAUGUUCCACAGACACUGCACAAAUUAACAAGCGAUGAUGUCAUCGCCCUGUGUGUACAGAGUGAAGCAGGGCUCUGCAAGGGUAGAGAUAAACUGUAUUCAUUGAAACUGUUGCAGAUUUUGGGAAGUAUAUGUUAUGAACCAAUGUUAGAAUUGGAUACAUUGUUUAUUUAGUGUGUUAUAUGUCCCACCUAAGAGUUAUUUAAUAUGUCGAGGGUAAUUAUUUUUCAUUGUUUUAGUUGAAGCAAAACGAACGUACUAAGCUCUUGGGCAUAACUGCUGGUUCGUGAUUCUUGUACAUUUUGGCUAAGAGUUUGGUAAUUUGCUUGAUCACCCUAUCGACACAAAUUUGAAUGAAUUGCAGUUCAGACCAAAACAAAUCUUCAAGUCUAGUCUCAACCUAUCUUUAUCUUCUAGACUAUAAGUUCAUUAUCACUUUCUGAUGCAUCUGUAUAUCUAAAUAAAAAAAAGUGCUGUCCUGCAUUCUAAUAUUCUACCAAGCUGAAUAAUUAGUAUUAUGAAAUGACAAUAAUAAAUAAUAGCUUUAGAUACAUCUAGUUUAAAGAUGGAAAGUUUAGAUGUUUAUUUUUUUGGCUGAAAUAUGUAGAAAGAAAUUGGCAGAAAAAUCCCAAUUUAUUUAUCUGCCAGUAAAUGUUAAGCAUUCGUGACUCCCAGGUUAGAGAGAUCCCUGAAUUAAUUAGGUGUUAAUUAGCUUUCUGUGGGAUGAUUAAAUUCAGUGGAUGGUGGGAAAGAGGGAUCGGAGAGUAAAUCAAGGAGAGGACACGAAAAGAUGGAGAGAUACAAUAUUGUGGAGGAUGGAUGGAUACCAAGAAAGAAAGAUGGGGGAGUGGAUAGAGCUUCAGAAGUGAGAUAGUAUCCAGUAUUAAUACAGAAAGAGAUUUAUUCGUUACACUGAGAGCUGCGGAGAAAUGACAAGGGAGAUACACAUUUAGGCCGAAAUAGUCUAGCUGAGAACAAAAAAAGACGGCUGAACUUUUUUUUAUCCAAUUCAGCUAUUUUGACCUAAACUUUGCUAUCACCUUGUCAAAAUUCACCUAAGCUCUGUUUUGUGGAGUUGUGGUCCCCUUUGUCAGGCCAGUGAAACCUGCAGAUGAUGGAAUUAGCUACCGAUGGAAGAAUAAAGACAAAUGGCUUCUGUAUAACAGACUUAAUGUAGAAAUGCAGAUCUAGUUUCUAUUAUUUUUAAUGAAUUCAGCUUCUCCAAGAGAUUGGCAAUGGGUGCUGUAAUGUUUUUAUCAAGCACCACAUAUGUGAAGUUUAAAACAGUUUGAAAAACCAUGGGAGAAAUUUUAUCAAAGUGUUCUGAAAAGUGUCUUUGCUUUAAUCUGUCAGUAUUUACUACAUUAUUUUUAUUUUAUUUUUUAACAAUUAUUCAAAGUAAUAUCCAUUUUAGAAAAAGCUACCAAACUAAAAAAAAACAACAAAAAGUGAAAUAGAAUGGUUUUGUAGUGGAAAAAGAAAUAAAUCAAGUUGAUAU